rnacentral:misc_RNA from 1 species
AUGACUUUUCAGAGAUAUGUUCCAAGUUUGUGACAAAGGAUUCCAACAAAGAAUUGGUACAGGAUAUAGGUCUUAUUGGGUCAAAUGGGAUUCCAUCAUUUGUCACAACUAUUUCUCCAUACCUCAGUGAUUCUAUGUUAAUGUUGAUAUCUCCUGAGAAGGAUACCAGUGUUUGUGACAAGUUCAAUGAUGAUGAAAGGCUGACCUUUACAAAAGGAAACAGAAGUGAGAGUAAUGUAGGCCUUCAGAGCUUAUCUGACAAUUUUGCCAAGGAAACUGCUGCAAAGGAAAUCAAUGAAGUAUUGAAAACCAAUAAACCUCUUUUGGGAUGCAUGCA